AAUAUGAUCAAGUUGGGAAAAAACCUAAAAAAAAUUGGAGUUCACCACACAAAAUUAAGAGAUGUUGCAGUAAACAUUUAUUAAAACAUCUGAUUACAGUUAAAUAAAUGCCAACUUCAGCAUACUAUUUCGAGUUGGAUGCAAGAACUGAGAAGGACAAAGUGUUUGGAUCUGAUCAAUCAGGUAGGUCAGCGCCAGCUACAUGAUAAAGACAUGUGAACGUGUGUUUUCAUAGGGGGGAAACAGCAAACACCUCUCCAAAUGAGUUACAACGGCCGGGCAACGAAUAGCUACUAUUUUACUGUUGUUUCAUUUUCUCCUCUUGUCAAAUGUGAAAUGUGAUAAUUGGCAAUGUUUCAAUGUUUAUAUUCUGCCUUAGAAAUCAUAAGGACACGUCUUUCCCCAUUCCAUAUCGGUACAGGGCAUUAACAUAACGAUUACCGUCUUUAAAACCUUUCAGGUUCCACGCUUUGGUGUUCUGCCAUAUGGAUAUGUUGGCUAUGUGACAAUCUUUGGCGACUACAACAUUUUUCUCUUUAGAUGGGAUUGGAAGCCGUGGACACGGGAAUUUUCCAUGGUGUUACAGGAGCAUGCGUUUGCGUAUAAAUGGCAUUAAUACCUUUUGCUCAUUUUAUCGGAUCUAGAACAAAGGCGAUUGCUUUCGAC